AGAGUUUGAUCAUGGCUCAGAGCGAACGCUGGCGGCAGGCCUAACACAUGCAAGUCGAGCGGGCACCUUCGGGUGUCAGCGGCAGACGGGUGAGUAACGCGUGGGAACGUGCCCUUUGGUUCGGAACAACUCCGGGAAACUGGAGCUAAUACCGGAUAAGCCCUUCGGGGGAAAGAUUUAUCGCCAAAGGAUCGGCCCGCGUCUGAUUAGCUAGUUGGUAGGGUAAUGGCCUACCAAGGCGACGAUCAGUAGCUGGUCUGAGAGGAUGAUCAGCCACACUGGGACUGAGACACGGCCCAGACUCCUACGGGAGGCAGCAGUGGGGAAUAUUGGACAAUGGGCGCAAGCCUGAUCCAGCCAUGCCGCGUGAGUGAUGAAGGCCUUAGGGUUGUAAAGCUCUUUCACCCACGACGAUAAUGACGGUAGUGGGAGAAGAAGCCCCGGCUAACUUCGUGCCAGCAGCCGCGGUAAUACGAAGGGGGCUAGCGUUGCUCGGAAUCACUGGGCGUAAAGGGCGCGUAGGCGGCCGAUCAAGUCAGGGGUGAAAGCCUGUGGCUCAACCACAGAAUUGCCUUUGAUACUGUUCGGCUCGAGACCGGAAGAGGUUGGUGGAACUGCGAGUGUAGAGGUGAAAUUCGUAGAUAUUCGCAAGAACACCAGUGGCGAAGGCGGCCAACUGGUCCGGUUCUGACGCUGAGGCGCGAAAGCGUGGGGAGCAAACAGGAUUAGAUACCCUAGUAGUCC
rnacentral:rRNA from 3 species